UAGGCUGCAACUCGCCUACAUGAAGUUGGAAUCGCUAGUAAUCGCGAAUCAGAAUGUCGCGGUGAAUACGUUCCCGGGUCCUGUACACACCGCCCGUCACACCAUGGGAGUUGGAAAUGCCCGAAGUCAGUGACCCAACCAAAAGGAGGGAGCUGCCGAAGGCAGGUUCGAUGACUGGGGUGAAGUCGUAACAAGGUAAC
rnacentral:rRNA from 1 species